CUUCACCGAACCCAGCCACAACGGCCGGUCCUCGUCGCGGUCCUGGCCGUAGGUGGCCAGGAGUGCCUGGGCUUC
rnacentral:antisense_RNA from 1 species